GAUGAAGAACGCAGUGAAAUGCGAUACUUGGUGUGAAUUGCAGAAUCCCGUGAACCAUCGAGUCUUUGAACGCAAGUUGCGCCCGAAGCCAUCAGGUUGAGGGCACGUCUGCCUGGGCGUCACAUAUCGUUGCCCAAUGCCUAUUGCAGUGCAAUAGGAAUUUCUAGGGCGAAUGAUGGCUUCCCGUGAGCGUUGUUGCCUCGCGGUUGGUUGAAAAUCGAGUCCUUGGUAGGGUGUGCCAUGGUAGAUGGUGGUCGAGUUAGAACGAUACCGAUCAUGUGCAUGCUCCCCAAAAUAUGGCCUCUAUGACCCACACGUGUCUUUUGACGCUCAUGACGAGACCUCAGGUCAGGCGGGGCUACCCGCUGAAUUUAAGCAUAUCAAUAAGCGGAGGA
rnacentral:misc_RNA from 1 species